CGCGGGGGAAUCGCAGUGAGCAGCGCGGGGCGAGGCCGCCGCGGACGCCCCGUCGGAUGUGCCCUUCGCUGGGCCGAGCGGCGCAGGGUUGGAGAGGGAAGCGCUCGUGCCCACCUUGCUCGCAGGUGCCCUUGCUGACCUGGGUGAUGGCCUUCUCCCCGCGGCUCUCGGCCCUCUGGCUGGCGGCGCGCAGCUGGCAGCCGCUCGGGUUGGUGCUUACCCCACGUCUCAAGUUUCCU
rnacentral:lncRNA from 1 species